GGGAGAAUUUUAAGCAGUCAGCAAGGAUUUAAAGACAACAUAUCAUUCCUAGCAGGAAUAAUAAUAAUAAAAAAGAGGGAAUGUAGGCAGGCAGGGACUGGGGCUGACUGAAGGCAGCCUCGGUCAGUCAGAGCAGCCUCACCUGGGCAGCUGGAGGGAUGGAAGAGCUGCAGGAAGGCUGGGGGACAUGGGCUGCCCCAAAACCAGCGGGGAGAACCUGAGAAGGGUGGGAAAGUGCCUGGAAUAGGGAAAUAGAACGAAUCAGCCUGACCACAUCAUCAGGCACAUCCCUGGAGCAGAGGAAUUUUGCAGGGAAAGAUGAGCCAAAGGUUCCUGUGGAAAGCAGAGUAAAACUGUCACCAUCUCCUGCAUGCCAAAGGAUUUCCAUGGACAGUAUGGGUUAGAGGAAGGUGCCUCUGGGAGCAUUACUCAGUGCAAGAGUCCCACCUCACAACUCCCGGGAAAGAGAGAUCCAAGACUCCAGAGAUAUCCAAAGCCUCACCUCAGCUCCAGGCACCUGGAAAGAAGAACUCCCAGCAAACAAGAUUUAUGUGCACUGAGGAAAUCAAAGCUCUGUGUAAGCUUUUUGCAAGGGACCUGGCUGCUGCCCCGUGGAGAUGCUCAUUAAACGGGCUGGUUUAGUGUGGAAGGAGCUGCAAACGUCUUGGAGGAUGGGAUUGGAGCCCAAAAUAAGCCUGAAAAAGAUUAUUUGUUAUUAAAAUGACACCAUCCAGUGGGAUGAGGGGAGAUCUCCUCCAUGACUGCACUCACUCUGAAGGAAAUGCUGGAUAAUGGGAGCACAGGCAGGAGCUGGAGCCCAUUCCAGCAAACAUCUGCUGACUUCCAAGAGACCUUGAGAACCUGGUGGUCAUAAAGGGGAAAAAAACCCUUCAAGAAACAGGCAGGGAAAGCUAAUCAGGCUCCUAAACCUGCCAGCUCCAGUGACAACGUUCCAAGCCAGGCCCAGAAUUUUGUAGGAAUACAAAACACCACGGGCACGAGGCGAGCCAGGAACAGCUGGAGCAGCAGAGCCACCAACAUUAACUCCAGGAUCAAAGGUGGAGCUGCCACAAACCCUUGGAAAGCAGCAGCAGGAGCUGCCAGGCACCUGCAGCCCCCGUGGCACGGCUGGGAACUCAAUCAUCCUGGCAGGAACAGCUUGGGGAGGGCAUCCGGGCACGGCUCGGGCUUGUGGACAUGGAACAUUUGGAUCCAAGGCCUGGAAGGAGCCCCCAGGCACAAUUCCUGUGCCUCUCCUCAGCAGUGCAGCACAUCUGAGCACUCACAGGCCUUUCCUGAGCCAGCCAAAGGCAUUUCUUGCUUGGGGCAGUGAGGUCUGAGCUGGCCUCUGGAUGAGUUUUAGGAAAAGUUAUUCCCUGCUUUUCCUGCUGGGGAGGAGCAGCCACAUCCCUGAGGCUCUGAAGGGCCAGCCUGCAUUUGCCUGGUGAAGAGUGAAUUUUGGUGGGAUCUCAAUUAUUGAUACCUUCCCUCGGCCUGAAAUUGCUGCUCAUGGUUCUGGAGCCACAUCAGCCACGGACCAGCAGGAGCUCUUAAACAGAACUUCUCAUUUUUACUGGGAGAGGAAGUCCCAAAAACCAGGAUGUGAUUGGGCUUUCCUUGGGAUUGCAGGGAGCAAAGUUCAGGGAGCUCAAUGUGUUUGACAGCUACAGAGGAGCCAAAGGGAGGAACAUGUUCCUUGAAGUGACCAAUGAUUACCCCAAGGUUCAGAGUAGAUGCCAGACUUGACUCCUGAGGUUUAGAGGAGAUGCCAGAUUUAACUCCUUGGGUUCAGAGGAGAUGCCAGAUUUAACUCCUUGGGUUCAGAGGAGAUGCCAGAUUUAACUCCUUGGGUUCAGAGGAGAUGCCAGAUUUAACUCCUUGGGUUUAAAGGAGAUGCCAAAUUUAACUCCUGAGGUUUAGAGGAGAUGCAGAUUUAACUCCUUAGGUUUAAAGGAGAUGCCAGAUUUAACUCCUUGGGUUUAAAGGAGAUUCCAGAUUUAACUCCUGAGGUUUAGAGGAGAUGCAGAUUUAACCCCUUGGGUUCAGAGGAGAUGCCAGGCUGGUUUUGCUCACUGCCACCCCAAACCAAAGGCACUCUGCAGUGACUUUUGCCAUGCCAUGGUAAGAGAGAAGGCUAAAGCAGCUCAUUCCAGGGAAAGCAGCUGACACCAGCCCAGAGGGGAUCAGGGGUUCAGCCUGGGGAGCUCCAGGCUAGUCUCCAGGAAGGCAGGGACAGCACCAUGAGCUUUCCAGGGGCCUCCACUGCAGCCCCUCCACCUGCUGAGCUGGCAGGACUUGAGGCUGUCCCUUGCCAGUCCUGAUUCCACAAUUCCAAACAAUUCCAGUGUUUGGGAGCUGCUUCCUUCCCUGCCCCAGAACAUACCGUGUUCCCAGCCCCCCUGCACUCCCUGCCCUGGUGUCCAGUGCUUCUGUCCUUCCCUGGGUGCCUUCCCCAGGCUUGCUGUGGCUCUGUUCAUUGCAGCAGAGGGGGAACAAGGGCUGCAAGCCUUUCUGUGUUCUCAGAGCUGCCCUCAAACAGCCCCAGUCCCAGCCAUCUCUGCAGCCUCUUUGUGUCCAGCUCUGAUGGGUGCAGCACCAGCUGUUUGUGUUUCAAAGUUGAUUUCUGCCAGUGUUGUUUCCUUGUCUUUUCCCCCAGCAAUGCCAUAAAAAGCUCUGGUUUCAUUUUCUCCCUUUCAUCCUGGCAUUAGCUCUGCAAACAACUUCCUUGCUCCCUCCUCCUCCAAACUCUUUGUCUGGCAGCCUCGUCUGUCUGUGACCAGCAUUUUGUUUUCUCUUGUCUCAGUUGCUGCUUUGUUUGUUCAUUAAAGACACUCUGCUCUCUGCUGUGAUCCCACAGCACUUUCUUGUUUGCCAGCAGGGUCCUAAACUUAAUGACUGGGGAGUUUUUUCUGGAGCUGCACAGUAGACUCAGGGAAAGCAUCCAGCACAAGAGGUGCUUGUACCUGGAGAGGCAGCCAGGAGAGCAGGGCUGGCUGUUCAGGCAGCUCUGAAUGAGAAAGCAGUUUGGUUGUUUUACUCUCAAUGAUGUUAAAACAGUUUCUUUUCAGAGCUGCUGUCCCAGCUGCACUUCUUGCACCACUCCUCUGCUUUGCUCAAAACAUCUUGUGCAGCUCUUGAAUUGUGGAAUGGCUUGGGCUGGAAGGGACCUCCAAGUUUGUCUGGUUCCACCCCCUGCCAUGACAGGGACACCUUACACUGUCCCAGGCUGCUCCAACCCUCAUCCAGCCUGGCCUUGGACAAUUCCAGGGAUCCAGGGGCAGGCACAGCUGCUCUGGGCAACCUCAGGGCAUCCCCACCCUCCCAGGGAACAAUUCCUUCCAUAUAUCCAACCUAAAAUCUGUCAUUUGAGCCACUCCCUCUUGUCCUGUCCCUAAGUUCCUGAUGAUCUCUGUGCUCAGUGGUUUUCAGCCCCCAGAGAUCUGGGCUGGAGGGCCCCAGGAGAGCUCAGUGCAAUUCUGCUGCCAGCAGUGCCACCCCUCAGCCCUGGCACCUGAGGAAGGCUCCUGCAGCCCCUGCAGAGCCCAGGCCAUGUCUUCUCCUCUCAGAGCAGCCUCUGGUGCCAUCCCCAGCUGCCCCUGCCCAAGCAGGAGCUGCCCUAGGAUGUAAACUGAGGUUUGGCUGCAUGAGUGUGGGAAUUGGAUUUAUAGAAAAUGUAAAAUUUGACAGAAGGCUCACAUGGUGUGCAUCUGUAUGCAAAGCUUGGGAUGAGAAAUUCUGACUUAGAAAUGCCAUGGAGUAGGACAGACAUUGCUGAGAGAGAAAUGGAGCUGGAAACAGGUCCUAGAAAGGGCUAGAAACUUAGUCCAGCACAUCAGGAGCUGUGUUAAAGCCUUUAUAACUCAGUAAAUCAUUUGGGUUUGGUGUGGAAUGUUGCCUCUGUGUUGUUUCAUCCCCCUGGCUUUGCAUGAAACC